rfam:Enterococcus faecalis V583, complete genome.
GUACAAAUGUGUUAUACUACACAAGUAGGAAGUUUAUGACGGUGGCAAUUUCUCAAAAAAAGGGGGACUGCCAAUGUUUUUGCUUGUUUGCUCUUUCCCUAGAAAGGAAUAGUAGUGACUGUCUUUGAAGCAUUGAUGCUUGCGAUUGCUUUCGCAACAUUAAUUGUCAAAAUCAGUAAUAAAAA